rnacentral:pre_miRNA from 1 species
AGGAGGAACAACUGCAGUGGCGGCGGCCAGCUCUGGAGCCCUGGAUUCAGCUCCUGCAGUAACUACAGAGCUCUCUGUCCGCAGGGCCUGGAUGCUCCAGGGGCGG